CGAGCGACACCACACCAGAUCCCCUCGCCGUUGCCCUCGCCCUCGCAGCCGCCGCCGAUCCCCUCCCCCAUCUUCCUCCCUCAAACGCUAACCCGUCUCCGCACCGCGACCUCCACCUCCCGUCGUGGCCGCCCCCGCCACCUCCCGCCGCGGCCGCCGCCUCAGCUCCAGCCGUGGCCAUCGCGCCCAGAUCCAGCCACGGCCGCCGCCCCCACGUCCCACCGCGGCCGCUGCCCUGCGUGCCAACGACCCCUUCCCCCGCCGCAUUACAAAACUCCCUCGGGCACAAGGAUUUACAUCGGCACGCUACCAGGAAGGCAGCCCACGCACGCAUCGUCCCCCCAUCUCUCUCGUUUCCUCUCCCCCAGCUCUAGGGUUCCCAGCCCCACUGCACCGCCGCCACAGCGCACAGCCCCUCCCAAUCUCGUUUCCGAUUUACCUCCUCUCUCCUCCCGUCACGGCCCUGAAUCAUCCCCCUCCUCCCGCACUUCUUCGUGCGUGGCCGCCGGCCUUGUCGUCUUCACCGACGGGAGGAGGCGAGUAGCAGCCGCACCAAGCGGUAGCAGUUGAUUAGGCCUUUGGCCAAUUGUGUAUGAUUAGAAGCCUUGGCUGAAUGUAUUUGCGUCUUGUUUUUUGGGCUCCUAUGUUCUCUUUUGAUUAAGCCCACUGUGUUCUCCUCUCACUAAGCCCUUGGCUAAUUGUGUUUGAUUAAAGGCCUUGGCUGAUUGCAUCCUUUUUAUUAUUAUUAGAUGGUCUACUCCCGAUGAUGUCAUCCUUUCCAGUGGAGCGCGGGAGCGUCGUCGAGAGAUUCGUCAAGGAAAGUGACCUGUUGUCUCAUCUGCUGGCCAAUCCUCUGGUUUGGCGGUCAGUUUGUUGCGUGCUUCUCCUGUCCUGAAUUUGGGGUCUUGUUCAGUGGCUGCUGAACCUGCUUUCUUUGUUUUGAAUCCGAACUUGGGAUCUUCUUCAAUGGCUGCUCGGUCAUUCAACCGUUUGUCUGGAACUUUUCAUUUGUGUAUGUUGUCUUCCUCUUACCUCUUCUUUUUUCCAGUUGGUUAAAUCAAAUAAGUUUAGGUUUUCCCAAAAAAGCAUUUCUUACUUUUUUUGAUACAGUGAGGAAUUUAUGUUGAUUUGAAUAGAAAAUUUGUCCUUCAAGAGUAAUGAACAAAAAGGGCAGCCGGUGCAUGUAGCUCCCGCUUGCGCAGGGUCGGGGAAGGGUCUGACCACUUUGGGUCUAUAGUACGCAGCCUUUCCCUACAUUUCUGUAAGAGGCUGUUUCCAGGACUUGAACCCGUGACCUCAUGGUCACAAGGUAGCAGCUUUACCACUGCGCCAAGGCUCCCCUUCAAGAGUAAUGAACAAUCAAACAAUUUUGGAUUGAGCUAAACUGUUACAAUAGAAUUUUUUUUAUCUCUUAUUCUUAUUAUUAGCUAACAUCCUUAUGUUAUGGGACGAGGGAGUAGUUUAUAAGGUUCUGUUUAUAAACUUUCUGUACUCAGUUUAUAAUGUUUCUCUUAUUCUAUUAUUAGCUAACAUCCUUAUAAAUCAGAGAUUCUGUGUAUCAUCACAGUUAUAAGCACAUACCAAAUUUAGCUACAUCUUAGACUUAUCUUCAUACAAAUUAUAUCCUUUUGACUUCAGGUACUUAUGUAUUGUCGAAAUCUGGUCAUUUGUAUUCUUCUCAGAAACUGCAUAAUGGCACCUUGCCGUUCUUUUCAGUUUGUCUCCUUAUGAUCCCCGCUUCAAUCUUUGUACUUGAUCUACAUUUUUUCCCAUGAGUUUAAUUUCUUGAUUUUGAUUCAGAUAUUCAAUAGUUGCUGGUGCGGGCAAUGGACAUUCAGACAUUCCUAUAUUUUUCUGUACUCUGUUCUGUAUUUCAUUUAAUUUGUAUCUUACUUUUUCCUGUAUAUAUAUGAUGCCUAGGAGAAGUGCACUGUACGAUGCAUAUCGGAGAAAAAGGCGCACUACAAGUUCUCCUGCUACUAAAAGAAGUUAGAGCUGCAAAUUCAAUGUUCAGGGAAGCCAAGAUCGGUUGAUAUGAAACUGUAUCUCCUGUUCAAGAUACUGUCAUGGCAACGGUGGAAAGCUGCAGAGGACACAUCCUGAAUUGGUGUUCUUUGCAAUGCCCUGGUGACCGGCGCCAGCAACACGCUACGGCCCGCCGGUUGCACUAAACGGCAGCGUGAACCAUCUGUUUAGGAGUAGCGGCGCAGAAGACGAUGACGUGGCAGAGGACGGAUUAGAUUGUCCCUAUCAGUGCGGCAGCAACUGGGUUGUGUGCGCAGCCGGGGUCGAGGAGGAAGAACCGCUGCUCACGACCUCGCACUACGACAGCGCAUCUUCUACUAUCGCACCUGUGGAGUCCUAGAUCUGGGAUCGUCGGAAGCAAGUGUACAUCUAGGGAUUUAUUUGAUUUGAAAUGUAUUAUGUUAGCUUAGCCUACUCUGUUGAUGUUGGUAUGUCAGGCUUUUAUAUUUCAGAAACAUGGUCAUUGCAAAUGGCAAUGUCGACAUGGAGGAACGAACCCUUGAAAUCGGGAUGGAGUACAGGACAGUUUCUUGACUUGCUGCUCCUCUUGUGAUUCUUGAUAAAGUGAAUUUGCAGGCAUUACUUCCAAGUCACAACCUGCAUGUUUUAGAAAUUUGUUGGGUAAAUAUUUGAAUAUGGUGCUUUUCUAAGGAGGUAUACAAUUUAUCUUUUGUGGAAUGAGUAUUGAUUUGCUGAUACCCGUAGUUAGCAUACAGAAGAGGCUGCUUGGUUGUCAAAAGAAUUCUAUUAUCUUAUAAAAAGUUCCUAUAUUGGGAUUUUGGAAUAAAGUGCUUCAUUGGAAGUCCGUAAGCAAAAGUUUGGUACUGCUUCAUUGGAUUUCAGUGAGGUUAUGAUAUAGUGCCAGACUGCCAGCCUUAGUACUACUUGUUUCAUGAAUGCUUCUACAUAUUUCUAGGCCGUGCAUUUCUAUGUUUGAUUACUGUAUUUUGUCUCAAACCCUGCUUUACUUGUAUCAUUUGUGUUGUAUGUCAUGGAACCGGAACUAGCAUUUUGGACAACCAUUGGACAAUAUUGUAUAUUCCGACUUCAAUUCCAUGCGAGUACCGAACUUGGCAUUGAGAGUCAUCCCAUGGAACUGAAGUUAGCAUUUAUCUCUGAAACCAGAACAUAUAGUUCACUACUGAAGUAGCUACCAAAAUUUUGCAAGGCGUUGGACCUUUUCACAUAUGUUGUUGAUCGUUUCUUCUUUAUUGGUGUACGUUUGGCUGAUUCUGGCGAGAUGUGGCUCGAGCGGAUGUCGUUGAUGUGACAAUGAGAAGAUCCUCUCUUUGAGCCCUCUCCCUCUCGUUUUGCCUCUCAUGCUUCCUGUUUCUCUAUUCUCAAGGGAGUUUCACUGGUUCUUUGGAGGUUUGUGUUAUUAUCUGUCUCGUUUAAAUGACCAAAGGUGUAUGGGAAUUUCUAUGGAAUGUCACUCAAGGAGGGUCAGACAUAGCUCAAAGUUGAGUGAUAUCCUCAUGGCCAACAAGGAUUGAUCCUAAUUCAAGAUUGAAAGUUUUGCUUUCGUGCGAGUGUCAUAUAUAUACAUGUAUUGUUUCUUGGGCAUUGAAAGUUAAGGAAAACACUUUUUGAUUGGUUCAGCGCAGCUUGCCAUUCGUUGAGAUUUGUUACUUCUGUUAGAAAGCUUCAGUCUGAGUCUGCGCCAUAAUUCCUAACAAUUCAAUGAAGGUCUGGCUUUGUUUUAUCCUUUUCCAUCGCUUCAUAUUCAAUGAAUUCCAAGAUGUAUUAGAUAACUAUUAAUAGUUGUAGAUGUUGCAGGUUGCAGAUACUAUUUAGGAUCAUGUAGUAUCCAAUGCUUUCAUUUUUCUCAAUGCUACUGAAUUAUCCAAUACAAAAUCUAGGGUUCAUUUACCAGCUACACCAUGUAUUUGAUUAUUCACUUGCUGCCAAUAAGUGUCAAUUAUACUAACAUGUCCUGAACUCUUUUGCUUGGUCACCAGAAGAGCAGUGGGUGAAAAUGUUGGCUUAGAAAUUCAGAACAUCAAAGAAGUGGUCGGGGGUCUGGUCAUGGUCUGCCUAUCUAUUGAUGGUGAUUCUAGCAAAGGUAAUGAUGCAGCAAAAAUGAUGGGAGCGACUCUUCUCGAGAUAUCUUGCAAGUUUGUGCCCGCUUUUCCAGAAUCUGAGAAACAACAACUCAUGAGUAUUCUGUUGUGUUUAUUAUCAUAGCGGACACCACACCCGCUUUUCCAGAAUCUGAGAAACAACAACUCAUGAGUAUUUUGUUGUGUUUAUUAUCAUAGCGGACACCACAAUUCUAAAGCUAUUAGGACUCGGGAGAUGAGUGCCUGAUGGUACUGUUGCUGCAUGUUGGGCAGCCGUAUCAGUAUGGAUCUGCUGUUUUGGGCUACAGCUAAGCUUUGCUACUGCUCUAAAUUGCAGUCUUUUGACCAACCGUGUUACCAAUGAUCAAUAUUUUUUUCCUUCCAGCAUUGCCUUAUUGUCUCUACUCCGGCUGCACUGUCAAUUUUGUGGUAGUCAUUUUCCAACAGUGAGUAGUGCUUUCUUUUCAGAAAUGAGCAGUGUGUUGUUUGUGUGGGUGCACAUUAUUUAGAAUCUUAUUGUCGUUGCUUUCAAAAUAAGUAUCAUGGUGCCUGGCCACUUAUUAAGCUCAUAAUUUGCCGUUGCUUUCCACUUUGUUUAUACAGAUGUUUGUUCGUGCAAUGCAUUGGAAUUAAUCAUGAAAUAAUUUGCUUAAUAUUUCGUUUUCCAUUCCUUGUUUGGUAAGCGAACAACGACAUCAGGUUGUCGGCAGUAGUGACAUCAACGGAUGGAGGGUGCGAGUGCUGCAACUCCGGCGGGAUGCUAGAGCUCGUGGUGACAUUUACGGCGGUGUGCCUGGGCGCCAUGCAGGAUGGAUCUGGCGCCGUGACAGAGAUGACAAGGAAGAGGACCAGCUGAGGGGGGCUCGACAAGGCGGCACUGCCAGCCAUGCCGGUGUUCGAAUUCAAGACGGGGCCUCGAUGGGUUGUUACUUGGUAGCUGCUGCAUACGUGUUGCUUCAUUGUUUUGCCUUACUAGAAGUUCCUUUCAGUCAGCUAAAUGUCAAUAUGUUGGAUGAUGUUGUGGAGAGGGCCACCGAGAGGGGGUUCGCAUUGCCAAAGUCGAAGGUGGCCAUUGCCUUGACCCGCCUGGACCUCUUGACCUUUAACAACGCUCAAACAGGAAACACAUGUUGGAGGAGGAGACCACAAGCUACUUGAUGAUUUGGAUGAGUGGAUCAGAGGACGACAUGAGCAGGUAUUUCCAUUUGAUCAUACCCAAAAUGAUAAUGUAUACACUAACUUAAGAUGAUGGCUCUUCUACUCUGCUAACAUAACAUGCAUGUGCUUGUGUGGAGUGCCUCCAAAAUUAAUAGCUCAAGUCUCUCAACACGCGGAUGGAUGAUGUUGUGGAGAGGGCCAUCGAGAGGGGGUUUGCAUUGCCAAAGUUGAAGGUGGCCAUCGCCUUGACCUGCCUAGACCUCCUGACCUUUCACAACACUCAAACAGGAAACACAUGUUGGAGGAGGAGACCACAAGCUAAUUGAUGAUUUGGAUGAGUGGAUCAAAGGACGACAUGAGCAGAUGUGGAGAGGGUUCUCCUAGCGGUCAUUGAAACUGUGAUAUGCAUUUCCUUGCUCUCGGCUCUGAUCAAGUUUGUAGCGUCUGGGAAUGUGCAUAUGAAAAUCCACACGACCAUAGCGGACCAUUGCAAUGCGGCAAAUCAAAUUUCAAUACUCAACACACUUCUAUGUGGAUUAGAAGACCACAGGUGGAGUGUGCUUGGACGGCAGCUUGGCCGCCAGCUGCAUGCCCUUCUAGGCGGCCAGGCAGAGAUUCUUUGCCUCGGCAACCGCCUUGGCCUAGAGCCAUGCCAGGUCGUCGUCGCCGAGGAUGGACGCCAGCAAUGACAUCGAUCUCUGUGAUACCGACGAAGUUGGUUGUGGGGCGGGACCAUGGCGGGGUGGCAUGAGGCCAUGGUGGGGAGAGGACAUGGGCACGAGGCUGUGGAUAUCGAGCUCCUUCUUUUACAACGAAGGGCAUGACGGAUGGCACCAGCGGAAAGGUGAGCGCCAGUGGAGAUAAGCGAGAAAAGGAGUAGCGCGAGGCGGUAGGCAGCCUUGAAGAGGAUGAGUGGGGCCGCUGCUGGAGGAUGGUCCUAGGGAUUUUUGAAUCAACGAGAGCAGUGUCGGCCCAGGCUAUCUAGAAUGAUUGCAUGUAUUAAUGAAGUAGUCCACGUUAGGUGGAUUGGCUCAAAAUGGAGAAGCAUGAUUGUAUUAAGCAUUUAAGCUCUAAGCAAUUUAGAAUGUCAAUGUCUUGGGGCUCCCUUGCAAUAUUUCAGAGAACUAUAUUUUUUCAGACAU